CGUGGCUGAUUUCUAAGCAUCACUCCUUGUGAAGACCAGGAAGGAAUGUUUUUGCACUCUCACCCUGACUAAAGUGGUCCUCAAGUCAGUCUAGGGUCUGAAGCAUUGAGGACACUCGGGAGGAGUCGUCAGAGGGUCUCAGAGGAAUCUAGCUCAGAAGGAGAGGUUGAGGCAAUCAAGAUGGUUCAUCUCUAUAAAGAGAAGGCUGAGGGGAUACCAAAUGUCUUUCUUUAAAUACCUGAAAUUGUUCUUGAGAGCGACUGGUGAAUAUGCCACUUAAAACCUUGGAUCAAGGACUUUUCUCAGGCACGAGGAAGCACUCCCUCCUCCGGACGGAUGCAAGCACUGGCAUGGAGCCCGCAGGGGACCUGGCUGCCUCUAAGACGUGGUGAGUACGGGGACAGGCCCCAGCUCUGCUGGCUGACCAGGCACAGCCCUACCAUGGAGUGGGUGGACGAGAUGGCCUCCCAUCGGGGCCUGGGAAUCACCUCCUCUGCUGGCCCAGCAGGUUCUCUCCCAUGCUGCUGCUGUGUGGUGAUGGUGAUAAUGGUGAUAAUGAUGAUGAUGGUGACGAUGAUGAUAAUGAAGACCAAGGGGAAGCAGAAAAAGAGGCAGAUUUAAGUGCACUAUCAGAUAUUUUUGUUUGUCUUUCAUUCCUUGCUGAACAGAACAUUCCUCUGGAGCUGGUGGCCCACAUCAGCGGGAGCUAUUUCUGCCCAGCCCUCAAGUCCUGCACUCCGACCUCAGCAUUACCGCAGCAGCGGUGGCUGCUGACUUGGUCAAAAGUCCUGGC
rnacentral:lncRNA from 1 species